rnacentral:rRNA from 1 species
GGAAGGAUUGGCCCGCGUUGGAUUAGCUAGUUGGUGGGGUAAAGGCCUACCAAGGCGACGAUCCAUAGCUGGUCUGAGAGGAUGAUCAGCCACAUUGGGACUGAGACACGGCCCAAACUCCUACGGGAGGCAGCAGUGGGGAAUAUUGGACAAUGGGCGCAAGCCUGAUCCAGCCAUGCCGCGUGAGUGAUGAAGGCCUUAGGGUUGUAAAGCUCUUUCACCGAUGAAGAUAAUGACGGUAGUCGGAGAAGAAGCCCCGGCUAACUUCGUGCCAGCAGCCGCGGUAAUACGAAGGGGCUAGCGUUGUUCGGAAUUACUGGGCGUAAAGCGCACGUAGGCGGAUAUUUAAGUC